GACAGAGGGUGCAAGCGUUGUUCGGAAUUAUUGGGCGUAAAGGGCGCGUAGGCGGCUCGGUCAGCGUGCGGUGAAAGCCCGGGGCUCAACCCCGGGUCGGCCGUGCGAACUGCUGGGCUGGAGCACUGUAGAGGCAGGUGGAAUUCCGGGUGUAGCGGUGGAAUGCGUAGAGAUCCGGAGGAACACCGGUGGCGAAGGCGGCUUUCUGGACAGAUACCGACGCUGAGGCACGAAAGCUAGGGGAGCAAACAGG
rnacentral:rRNA from 1 species